UACGUAGGGUGCAAGCGUAAUCGGAAUUACUGGGCGUAAAGCGUGCGCAGGCGGCUAUGCAAGACAGAUGUGAGAUCCCCCGGGCUCAACCUGGGAACUGCAUUUGUGACUGCAUGGCUAGAGUGCGGCAGGAGGGGGAUGGAAUUCCGCGUGUAGGCAGUGAAAUGCGUAGAUAUGCGGGAGGAACACCGAUGGCGAAGGCAAUCCCCUGGGCCUGCACUGACGCUCAUGCACGAAAGCGUGGGGAGCAAACAGG
rnacentral:rRNA from 1 species